UGGGGAAUAUUGCACAAUGGGCGAAAGCCUGAUGCAGCAACGCCGCGUGAGUGAUGAAGGUCUUCGGAUUGUAAAGCUCUGUCUUUUGGGACGAUAAUGACGGUACCAAAGGAGGAAGCCACGGCUAACUACGUGCCAGCAGCCGCGGUAAUACGUAGGUGGCGAGCGUUGUCCGGAUUUACUGGGCGUAAAGGGUGCGUAGGCGGAUGUUUAAGUGAGAUGUGAAAUACCCGGGCUUAACUUGGGUGCUGCAUUUCAAACUGGAUAUCUAGAGUGCAGGAGAGGAGAAUGGAAUUCCUAGUGUAGCGGUGAAAUGCGUAGAGAUUAGGAAGAACACCAGUGGCGAAGGCGAUUCUCUGGACUGUAACUGACGCUGAGGCACGAAAGCGUGGGUAGCAAACAGGAUUAGAUACCCUGGUAGUCCACGCCGUAAACGAUGAGUACUAGGUUGUAGGAGGUAUCGACCCCUUCUGUGCCGCAGUAAACAC
rnacentral:rRNA from 1 species